rnacentral:lncRNA from 1 species
CUACGGGAGCCGGACUUCGUCCCAAACCUCAACUGCUGGAAGGCUUCGUCCGGACUCCUACGGGAGUCGGGCACCAUCCUCGACCUCGACUGCUGGUAAGCUUCGUCCGGACUCCUAAGGGAGUCAGACUUCGCCCCUGACUUUAAUUGCAGGUAGACUUCGCCCGGACUCCUACGGGAGCCGGACCUCGUCUCCAACUCUGGU